rnacentral:rRNA from 1 species
UACGUAGGGGGCAAGCGUUGUCCGGAUUUAUUGGGCGUAAAGAGCGUGUGAGGCGGCCAUACAGGUCCGUUGUGAAAACUGGAGGCUUAACCUCCAGACGUCGAUGGAAACCGUAUGGCUAGAGUCCGGAAGAGGAGAGUGGAAUUCCUGGUGUAGCGGUGAAAUGCGCAGAUAUCAGGAAGAACACCCGUGGCGAAGGCGGCUCUCUGGGACGGUACUGACGCUGAGACGCGAAAGCGUGGGGAGCGAACAGG